CAGUAGCCACGGGAAUACGAAGGGGGCUAGCGUUGUUCGGAAUUACUGGGCGUAAAGGGCGCGUAGGCGGCCAUUCAAGUUAGAUGUGAAAGCCCUGGGCUCAACCUAGGAAUUGCAUUUGAUACUGUUUGGCUUGAGUUCGGGAGAGGUGAGUGGAAUUCCCAGUGUAGAGGUGAAAUUCGUAGAUAUUGGGAAGAACACCAGUGGCGAAGGCGGCUCACUGGACCGACACUGACGCUGAGGCGCGAAAGCGUGGGGAGCAAACAGGAUUAGAUACCCCGGUAGUCCCUGUCUCUUAUAC
rnacentral:rRNA from 1 species